rnacentral:misc_RNA from 1 species
CGAAAAUCAGAUUCUUCUACAUUAACCUUAACAUAACAAAAUAUGGUCAUUUAGAACCUGCUACCCAGCAUGCCGUUACAAUAAGAACUAUUGGUUGAACAAUGCCAAAUGAUUAUUUUUUGUCUCAAGAUAGAAACAUCUCUAGGAAGGGAAAACUGACUUGAUAGUUUCUCAUUUGUUGCCAAUAUUAUUUUACUUUGUAGGUCAAAACUUGUCAUGUAUGUGG